rnacentral:rRNA from 1 species
UACGGAGGGUGCGAGCGUUGUCCGGAAUCACUGGGCGUAAAGGGCGCGUAGGCGGCCUGAUAAGUAGGGGGUGAAAUCCUGCGGCUUAACCGCAGGGCUGCCUCUAAACUGUCAGGCUGGAGCACAGUAGAGGCAGGUGGAAUUCCCGGUGUAGCGGUGGAAUGCGUAGAGAGUCGGGAAGAACACCCGUGGCGAAGGCGGCACUCUGGGACGGUACUGACGCUGAGACGCGAAAGCGUGGGGAGCGAACGAGG